GAUGAACGCUGUCAGAAUGCUUAACACAUGCAAGUCUACUUGAACUUCGGUUUGGGUGGCGGACGGGUGAGUAACGCGUAAAGAACUUGCCUCACAGAUAGGGACAACAUUUGGAAACGAAUGCUAAUACCUGAUAUUAUGAUUUUAGGGCAUCCUAGAAUUAUGAAAGCUAUAUGCACUGUGAGAGAGCUUUGCGUCCCAUUAGCUAGUUGGAGAGGUAACGGCUCACCAAGGCGAUGAUGGGUAGCCGGCCUGAGAGGGUGAUCGGCCACAAGGGGACUGAGACACGGCCCGUACUCCGACGGGAGGCAGAAGUGGGGAAUAUUGGACAAUGGACCAAGAGUCUGAUCCAGCAAUUCUGUGUGCACGAUGAAGUUUUUCGGAAUGUAAAGUGCUUUCAGUUGGGAAGAAAAAAAUGACGGUACCAACAGAAGAAGUGACGGCUAAAUACGUG
rnacentral:rRNA from 1 species